CUUGCUGUUCAGACUGCUGCCACGCUGGCUGGCUAGGUCACUCUUUUCAGAGGUUCAGUUCAUUAUCAUCAUGGUGGGGAGCAUGGAGGCGUGAGGAAGCUGUGAUGCUGGAGAAAAAGCUGAGAGCCUUAUGUGGUGAUAUCUUGUUCCUCCCCGCUUGUAUCCUGUUUCUGACCAGCUAUGUCACUUCCCGUCUCUCUUACAGACCUCUAGACCUCUAUGGUUUAUACUUCCAGUGGUGAAAUUUGGGUGAUUUUAACAGCAUCAAGAAAGUGGCUACUAGCUUAAUAAGUUGCACUCUGGAAAAUUUCUUUGCUAAUGAAAAGCCUGCUGUGACCCAAGUUCUAUAGACUGGUGACCAUCCUGCUUGUGCCCUGCUCAGAGUCACCUGAGGCCUGGGAACUACUCACUCGGGCACCCAUCCAGGUGGUCCAGCCCAUCCAGAGACUGCCAGGGUCCUGAUUCCGUCUCCACCCAGUGGAAGAGGAGAACCAUCGGAGUAUUGGACCUACUCGCACCCACUGGAUGGGAACCUUGGACCCAUACCCAUCAGGAGAAACUCCACCUGUACCCACUGGAAGAAGGGCUGGAAAGAAGGCAACAUAAAAACACAUUCAACAAUAGAAAAAACAAUAAGACACCACCAGAGUCUAGGGACUCUACACCAGCAAGACCUGAUGAACAACACAGUGCAGAUGAAGCAGAAGACAAUGACCUUAAAAACAAUUUAAUGAAAAUGAUAGAGGUCCUCAAAGAGGAUAUGAGAAAAUCCAUUGAAGAAAUGGAAGAAAAUUGUAUAAGUUGAAUUGAGAAUUUAAUUUCUUAUUAUAUUAUCUUGACAAAAUCUUAAAUAAAUGUUAUAAAACAUCAGAUUUUAAUUUUUCUGAAAAUUGUACAUAUUUUAAUUUUAACCUUACAAAAUAUGCACAUAUAAUAAAUUAUAUCUAUUUAAUUACUAUGAUUUAAUGGUGGAUUUUAUCAUUUUAAUUAAUGUGGUG
rnacentral:lncRNA from 1 species